rnacentral:snoRNA from 1 species
AUGGCUGUUAUCAAGAAAUCAAAAAAAAACAACUGCAUGUGAGAGUAACUUGGGAGAUUUUUACAGCUCAGGUCAACCCAAUAUCUGUGGCCAACACUCAUUAAUUG